AUUGAACGCUGGCGGCAUGCUUUACACAUGCAAGUCGAACGGUAACAGGCCGCAAGGUGCUGACGAGUGGCGAACGGGUGAGUAAUGCAUCGGAACGUGCCCAGUCGUGGGGGAUAACGCAGCGAAAGCUGCGCUAAUACCGCAUACGAUCUGUGGAUGAAAGCGGGGGACCGAAAGGCCUCGCGCGAUUGGAGCGGCCGAUGUCAGGUUAGGUAGUUGGUGGGGUAAGGGCCCACCAAGCCAACGAUCUGUAGCUGGUCUGAGAGGACGACCAGCCACACUGGUACUGAGACGCGGCCCAGACUCCUACGGGAGGCAGCAGUGGGGAAUUUUGGACAAUGGGCGCAAGCCUGAUCCAGCAAUGCCGCGUGCAGGAAGAAGGCCUUCGGGUUGUAAACUGCUUUUGUACGGAACGAAACGGCUCUGGUUAAUACCGGGGGCUAAUGACGGUACCGUAAGAAUAAGCACCGGCUAACUACGUGCCAGCCGCCGCAGUAACAC
rnacentral:rRNA from 1 species